rnacentral:lncRNA from 1 species
GCAAACUGAAGAUUAUGUUCAAAAUUUCACAAUUAACAUAAUCGCUGAACAAAAGUGUCUAUUUUGAGAGUCCCAGACACUAUAAUAGUUGACAGUUUUCCCACUAAUUCCAAGUGUUUUCUAGUGGUAGUAAAAUCAAAGUGGAUCAUAAUGCAUUGUAGUUCAUUGAGUCGAUUGGUAAGUUUUUCAAGGUCAUUUUGAUUUUUUUGGGGGGAAAUAACUAUGCAAAUAUAUUCGGACGUCAGAAAAUUUAGAGUUCUCGACCUGUGUAACCACUAUAAACCCCAAAUGUCUGUUUCAUAAAUCAAUUUAAUAUAAAAAAAAAAAAAAGAUAUGGUAUGAUUGUCAAAGGGACAACUGUCCACAAGAGACCAAAAUGAAACAGACAUUAACAACUAAGGCUGUUUAGACAUUUACACACGGUUCUUAUUAAUCAUAUCAAGAUUCCAUUAAUUCUAACUGAAAAUUAAAGAGUGAUACAAUGUAUGUUGGUGGUUUUCAAUAUUGGAGGGUAGUGAGAAAUGUCAGAAGAUAGUUGCAUAAUUGUUGCCAAGC